GUGAGUGCCUGAUAGCCUGAUAGUGUCUGCUCCUGGAAACUAAGCAGGACCAUGCCUGGUUAGUACUUGGCUGGGAAACCAACUUGGAAGACCAGGGGCUGCUAGUC
rnacentral:rRNA from 12 species